CAGUCGCCGCGGGAAUACAGAGGGUGCGAGCGUUAAUCGGAUUUACUGGGCGUAAAGCGUGCGUAGGCGGCUUUUUAAGUCGGAUGUGAAAUCCCUGAGCUUAACUUAGGAAUUGCAUUCGAUACUGGGAAGCUAGAGUAUGGGAGAGGAUGGUAGAAUUCCAGGUGUAGCGGUGAAAUGCGUAGAGAUCUGGAGGAAUACCGAUGGCGAAGGCAGCCAUCUGGCCUAAUACUGACGCUGAGGUACGAAAGCAUGGGGAGCAAACAGGAUUAGAUACCCCGUAGUCCCUGUCUCUUAUACA
rnacentral:rRNA from 1 species